UCAGUUUGACAACAGUUGUCACUUCCAUUUUUGUUUACCUCCUGUUUCUGAUUCAAUCGAGACGAGUGGACCAGCGAGAGAAGCGAAGAAAUUGAUUGCGGGAAACCUGAUGCACCGAAAAUUUUAUGAGGGUCGGACCGAGACAAACGAAUUCCUGCUUCUGUACCAAAAAGGACUAUCGUGCCGGAUAAGGCUCCCAGAGCUGGACUAGGCUUUAAUAAAGAGAAACCGGAAGCAGCUGUUGAUCGACGCAAACCUAAAUAUAAGGUGGCAUACUCCGACGGGCUUGUUUUGGAACCAAUAAAGGGAUUCAGGAAUACAACAUUUGCUUUACUACGACUACCGAUGCAGAAGAUUAUGAGAACGCCGGCGCUCAGAUCCUCCAAAGAAGCAAAAUGGGAAUAUUGUCUCGCCAAAUUCGGAAACUCGUUGAGAGCAGAAAAUUAGUGAAACAGCUAAUGAAAACAAUAUUCGCUAGAUGUGCUCAAUUUUGCGGCCAUUUUCCUGUACUGAUGUUUAGGCUACACCAGAUCCCGAUUAUAUGCUUAACACAUGGCCACUCCGAUCAUCAUCCUCACGCAUCAUUGCACACCGCUGGGCAUCAUCAUCAAUCGCCAGUGUUUUUUCGCAUCAGUGUCGGUCGGUACUGCUGUCAAAAAAAUCAGCUCGCCUCGCACGGUUUGUACCGUUUGUACCGCGUUCGCACCCAGGAUCUUUCGAUUCGAUAUUCGCGGUACACCAGCCCAAAAGGACUAAUUGCUGAAACGAUCAUCGAUCUAGGAUAACCAGCCAAAAAGCUGUUUACAAAGACGGGUGGUUCGGAUGCAGAACUCAUGAGGAAUCGUUUCUCCAUCGGAAUUCCAUUACUGGUUCCGAACACGAAAACCGCUUCACUCCAUCGCCAGCGUCCUCGAUCACCGUGACAGAAAAGUGCGGGUAGGAAGCACCUCUCCAUUUCGUCAGCUGAACCAAACACCGCCGCCUGCGGAACAGCAACGGAUCAAAGUGACUGAAAACUAUUUAAGUACAGUGCCUCGGAUCGACAAAGAGGCUUUACAAAAUCAACAAGAACCGUCACAAUUCCUCUGGCAACCAUUUGCAGCAUCGGACAGCGAAGAUUUAACAAAGAAGGUAGCGUUUUUUCCACCCUCUGACUCAAGGAAUCGAUGCUGGAGAACGAUCGUCAUCAGAGCAGC